GCACUUGCUUCGGCAGCACAUAUGCUAGAAUUGGAACAAUACAGAGAGAUUAAAUGGCCCCUGCAAAAGUAUGACAUGAAAAUUCUUGAAGUGCUUAAUAUUUUU
rnacentral:snRNA from 1 species